rnacentral:rRNA from 1 species
GAUGAACGCUGGCGGCGUGCUUAACACAUGCAAGUCGAACGAGAAGUGAGGGCCUACACCUGCGGGGGGACGUCUUUAGUUGGAGUGUCCGACGGGUGAUGAACGCGCGGGUAGCCUGCCGUAUACAGGGGGAUAACAGUUUGAAACGACAGUUAAUACCGCAUAAGACUACACCACCGCAUGGUUCGGGGGUAAGAACUCCGGUGGUCUGAGAUGGACCCGCGUUGGAUUAGCCAGUUGGCGCGGUAACGGCCCACCAAAGCGACGAUCGAUAGCCGAUCUGAGAGGAUGACCGGCCACACUGGGACUGAGACACGGCCCAGACUCCUACGGGAGGCAGCAGUGGGGAAUAUUGCACAAUGGGGGAAAGCCUGAUGCAGCGACGCCGCGUGAGUGAUGAAGUAUUUAGGGAUGUAAAGCUCUAUCAGCCGGGAAGAUAAUGACGGUACCGGAAGAAGAAGCCCCGGCUAACUACGUG